AACAGUAACGGGGGCGGACCUUGAACUGAGGCCAUUUCGUGGACUCGUUCUCGCCGCCCUGUCUGAUAUACCCCUGCUUUUUGCGUACCACUGUUUCCUCGGCGGGCUCGCCCGCCAGUAGGACCUUUUUAAACCUUUGCAGUGCAGUCAGCGUCAGAAAAAUACAAUCGUUA
rnacentral:misc_RNA from 1 species